GUCCUAGCCGUAAACGAUGGACACUAAAUGGAGGGGGGUUUACCUCUCUCUGUUGCAGCUAACGCGUUAAGUGUCCCGCCUGGGGAGUACGGCCGCAAGGUUAAAACUCAAAGGAAUUGACGGGGGCUCGCACAAGCGGUGGAGCAUGUGGUUCAAUUCGAUGCAACGCGAAGAACCUUACCCGGGCUUGAAGUGGAGGUGGUAGAAACCGGAAACGGUAACGACCCCGAAAGGGGAGCCUUCAUCAGGUGUUGCAUGGCUGUCGU
rnacentral:rRNA from 1 species